GCAUUGUACAGCGAAACUGCGAAUGGCUCAUUAUAUAAGUUAUCGUUUAUUUGAUAGUGCCUUACUACUUGGAUAACCGUGGUAAUUCUAGAGCUAAUACAUGCUAAAAGACCCGACUUCGGAAGGGUUGUAUUUAUUAGAUUAAAAACCAAUGCCCCCCCGGGCUCACUGGUGAUUCAUGAUAACUAUACGAAUCGCAUGGCCUUUGUGCCGGCGAUGGCUCAUUCAAAUUUCUUCCCUAUCAACUUUCGAUGUUUGGGUAGUGGCCAAACAUGGUUGCAACGGGUAACGGAGGGUUAGGGCUCGACCCCGGAGAAGGAGCCUGAGAAACGGCUACUACAUCCAAGGAAGGCAGCAGGCGCGCAAAUUACCCAAUCCCGAUUCGGGGAGGUAGUGACAAUAAAUACUGAUACAGGGCUCUUUUGGGUCUUGUAAUUGGAAUGAGUACAAUUUAAAUCCCUUAACGAGGAACAAUUAGAGGGCAAGUCUGGUGCCAGCAGCCGCGGUAAUUCCAGCUCUAAGAGCGUAUAUUAAAUUUGUUGUGGUUAAAAAGCUCGUAGUUGAACCUUGGGCCUGGCUGGCGGGUCCGCCUCACCGCGUGUACUUCGCUGGCCGGGCCUUUCCCUCUGUGGAACCCUAUGCCCUUCACUGGGUGUGGCAGGGAAACAGGACUUUUACUUUGAAAAAAUUAGAGUGCUCCAGGCAGGCCUUUGCUCGAAUAUAUUAGCAUGGAAUAAUAAAAUAGGACGUGUGGUUCUAUUUUGUUGGUUUCUAGGACCGCCGUAAUGAUUAAUAGGGACAGCCGGGGGCAUCAGUAUUCAAUUGUCAGAGGUGAAAUUCUUGGAUUUAUUGAAGACUAACUACUGCGAAAGCAUUUGCCAAGAAUGUUUUCAUUAAUCAGGAACGAAAGUUAGGGGAUCGAAGACGAUCAGAUACCGUCGUAGUCUUAACCAUAAACUAUGCCGACUAGGGAUUGGACGAUGUUAUUACUUGACUCGUUCAGCACCUUACGAGAAAUCAAAGUGCUUGGGCUCCAGGGGGAGUAUGGUCGCAAGGCUGAAACUUAAAGGAAU
rnacentral:rRNA from 1 species